GAGAGGGAGCCUGAGAGACGGCUACCACAUCUAAGGAAGGCAGCAGGCGCGCAAAUUACCCAAUCCUGACUCAGGGAGGUAGUGACCAGAAAUAACGACGACGGGUUUCGAUUCGUCGAUUGCAAUGAGUACAAUGUAAAAUUCUUAGCGAGUACCGACUGGAGGGCAAGUCUGGUGCCAGCAGCCGCGGUAAUUCCAGCUCCAGUAGCGUAUAUUAAAGUUGUUGCAGUUAAAAAGCUCGUAGUUGGACGUCUCCGCGACACGCAGCUCCGCCACGCAACUAGAUACGUUCUUAACUGAACGGUUUAGACCUGCGGGCCCUUUACCUUGAGGAAACUAGAGUGUUUAAGGCAGGCUGAGCCUGAAUACUGCAGCUGGGAAUAAUGCGCACGACUGUCUUGGCGAGGCAGCUCCACACUUUUAAUAGGAACAGUUGGGGGCAUUCGUACUCAGCAGUCAGAGGUGAAAUUCUUGGAUUUGCUGAAGACGGACUAAUGCGAAAGCAUUUGCCAAGGAUGUUUUCACUAAUCAAGAACGAAAGUUAAGGGAUCCAAGACGAUCAGAUACCGUCCUAGUCUUAACCAUAAACGAUGCCGACUAGGGAUCGGGAGAGACGCACAAACUCUCUCGGCACCUCACGAGAAAUCCAAGUCUUUGGGUUCUGGGGGGAGUAUGGUCGCAAGACUGAAACUUAAAGGAAUUGACGGAAGGGCACCACAAGGAGUGGAGCCUGCGGCUUAAUUUGACCCAACACGGGGAAACUUACCAGGUCCAGACAUAGUGAGGAUUGACAGAUUGACAGCUCUUUCUUGAUCCUAUGGGUGGUGGUGCAUGGCCGUUCCUAGUUGGUGGAGUGAUCUGUCUGGUUAAUUCCGAUAACGAACGAGACCUCAGCCUGCUAACUAGAUCUUCUUAGAGGGACUUCCUGCUCGCGUGGGAGGAAGUGAGGCAAUAACAGGUCUGUGAUGCCCUUAGAUGUCCUGGGCCGCACGCGCGCUACACUGACGCAACCUGCAAGUUCCAAGCCUGUCAAGGUCUGGCAAACUGCCAACUGCGUCGUAGUUGGAACUGACCCUUGCAAUUCUUGGUCACAAACCAGGAAUUCCUAGUAAGCGCAAGUCAUCAGCUUGCACUGACUAAGUCCCUGCCCUUUGUACACACCGCCCGUCGCUCCUACCGACUCCGAGUGAUCAGGUGAACCUCUCGGACCCUGGAAGUUAAGUGAACCUUAUCACUUAGAGGAAGGAGAAGUCGUAACAAGGUA
rnacentral:rRNA from 1 species